rnacentral:snRNA from 1 species
GUGCUCGCUUCAGCAGCACACAUACUAAAACUGGAACGAUGCAGAGAAGAUUAGCAUGGCCCCUGCGCAAGGACGGCACGCAAAUUUGUGAAGCGUUCCAUAUUUUG